rnacentral:rRNA from 1 species
UAAUACAGAGGGUGCGAGCGUUGUCCGGAAUCACUGGGCGUAAAGGGCGCGUAGGCGGCUGGGUAAGCGUGUGGUGAAAGUCCGGGGCUCAACCCCGGAUCGGCCAUGCGAACUGUCCAGCUGGAGCACGGUAGAGGCACAUGGAAUUCCGGGUGUAGCGGUGGAAUGCGUAGAGAUCCGGAAGAACACCGGUGGCGAAGGCGGUGUGCUGGGCCGUAGCUGACGCUGAGGCGCGACAGCGUGGGGAGCAAACAGGAUUAGAUACCCUGGUAGUCCACGCCGUAAACGAUGGGCACUAGGUCCUUGGGGGAGCGACCCCGUGAGGGCCGGCGCUAACGCAUUAAGUGCCCCGCCUGGGGAGUACGGCCGCAAGGCUG